GGCCUCAUGGUCUAGUGGUAUGAUUCCUGCUUUGGGAUUUAGAUUCCUAAGCUGCAGGAGGCCCCGCGUUCGAAUCGCGGUGGGGCCC